rnacentral:rRNA from 1 species
UACGUAGGGUGCGAGCGUUAAUCGGAAUUACUGGGCGUAAAGCGUGCGUAGGCGGUUCGUUAAGUUCGUUGUGAAAGCCCCGGGCUCAACCUGGGAACUGCAAUGGAAACUGGCGGGCUUGAGUGUGGCAGAGGGGGGUGGGAAGUUCCGACGUGUAGCAGUGAAAUGCGUAGAGAUGCGGAGGAACACCGAUGGCGAAGGCGGCUACCUGGACCAGCACUGACACUCAGGCACGAAAGCGUGGGGAGCAAACAGG